CCGCCUGGGGAGUACGGCCGCAAGGUUAAAACUCAAAUGAAUUGACGGGGGCCCGCACAAGCGGUGGAGCAUGUGGUUUAAUUCGAUGCAACGCGAAGAACCUUACCUGGUCUUGACAUCCACAGAACUUUCCAGAGAUGGAUUGGUGCCUUCGGGAACUGUGAGACAGGUGCUGCAUGGCUGUCGUCAGCUCGUGUUGUGAAAUGUUGGGUUAAGUCCCGCAACGAGCGCAACCCUUAUCCUUUGUUGCCAGCGGUUAGGCCGGGAACUCAAAGGAGACUGCCAGUGAUAAACUGGAGGAAGGUGGGGAUGACGUCAAGUCAUCAUGGCCCUUACGACCAGGGCUACACACGUGCUACAAUGGCGCAUACAAAGAGAAGCGACCU
rnacentral:rRNA from 1 species